rnacentral:rRNA from 1 species
UUGUCUCUCUUGAGUGGAUCCUGAGUACGACGGAGCACGUGAAAUUCCGUCGGAAUCUGGGAGGACCAUCUCCUAAGGCUAAAUACUCUCUAGUGACCGAUAGUGAACCAGUACCGUGAGGGAAAGGUGAAAAGCACCCCGGAAGGGGAGUGAAAUAGAACCUGAAACCGUGUGCUUACAAGUAGUCAGAGCCCGUUAAUGGGUGAUGGCGUGCCUUUUGUAGAAUGAACCGGCGAGUUACGAUUUGAUGCAAGGUUAAGCAGUAAAUGUGGAGCCGUAGCGAAAGCGAGUCUGAAUAGGGCGUUUAGUAUUUGGUCGUAGACCCGAAACCAGGUGAUCUACCCUUGGUCAGGUUGAAGUUCAGGUAACACUGAAUGGAGGACCGAACCGACUUACGUUGAAAAGUGAGCGGAUGAACUGAGGGUAGCGGAGAAAUUCCAAUCGAACCUGGAGAUAGCUGGUUCUCUCCGAAAUAGCUUUAGGGCUAGCCUCAAGUGAUGAUUAUUG